rnacentral:lncRNA from 1 species
ACUUUUCUCUUGCCUCUGACCAUUCUGAUGUUUCCUCUGAGACACACUGGCAGGCUGUCCGUGAUGGGGCUCUGCUCAGAAGACCCCCCCUCCUCUGCUGAGCCUCCCUGGCCCUGGGAUAAAGCAGUCUCCUUCUCAGCUUGCAUCGAUGAGCGGGGCUGCCUGGAGCAGAGCUGUUGACCCAGGAAGGCAGCAAAGUGUGGGUGGAUGAUGUAUGUGAAAACACACAGUGAGACCUGCCCACCAGGGCACCAGGGAGAGUUAAAAGUCCUGCUCUUUCUUAACCCAAAGAACGCUCUGGCUUGUCUUCAGUGUGGACUCUGACAGAGAAUCUUCAGCUAAAAGUCAUGUAUGUAGCCUUCUUGAGUCAUACAAAUGCAGCGUCAACAGGAUCCUCCAGGGUUUAGAGAGAUAACCAGAAAGGUGCUUUAUCCAUGUUUGAGAAAAGGCAAAAAGCUAGUUGCUUAGAGGUGGGACAAAGUUUGGGUCUCUGAGGUGUGGAAGCAGGAGUGGGUCCUGCUCAGCCUCCAGGGUUGUGCUACACCCUGGAAAGUGGCUGUGUGGGGGCAGAAAGUUUUUAUAACUGUCAUAAUAGCUGCAGUAAUGACUUCCUGGAGAAUUUUCACUGAGAAUGUCCAGGGAUUUGGCUUUCUUCCACUGCUGAGGAAAAGCUCUGGAGCCCCUGCAGGAGGAACUCAGCUUCUACCGCCACAUCUGGUCUCGGCCUUCAGGAACAGCCUGGUUGUCUUACCUUCUACUGUAAACUUGAGGAAAUUCUGGAGCACCUUCAGAUCACCUUUGCUGCUUCACCUCCCUACUCCUUGGCCUUGACAGAGACCUAGACUCUUAACACACGUGACUCCAUCAUCAGUGACUGGGCUUGCUGGAACACUGCCCACGACAGCCAGAACCUCCUCUGCCUCAAGCCUGCUGCUCUCCCAUAUCUGCCAUGUUGGGAUAAGGUCGGUCACCUUCAGGACCUAUAUGAGGGUGGUCAAUGCAGUGGCCAUUUUUACCUGGGCCAUCCAGGAUGAUUCCUCCCAAAUUCAAGGCCCCUCCUUCUGUUCUUAACAGUAUCCCACAGCUUCCUUAAGCAGUUGGGGCAGAAAGAACCUUCACUUCAGGGCCCAGGGCAGACCUAUGCUGGGGGGGUGGGGUGGGGUGUGGGGGGGUACUUCCUGGGUGUGACUCUCGGGAAUGGCAGACAACACCAGUCACUAUUUCCUGUAUUCACGGCUGUUAGAGAACUUACACCUUCAUCUGACUUCUGCACAUCAGAAAGAUGCCCUCCCUUGUCAAAUGGAACUCUCCACCUCUAUCAACACAGAAAACUGGGACAGGGCUUCCCUGUCUUCCUCAAGACAUUAGUGGUCUUUGAAGGUCCUGUCAUGGCGCAGUGGAAAGGAAUCCAACUGGGAACCACAAGGUUGCGGGUUCGAUCCCUGACCUCACUCAGUGGGUUAAGGAUCUGAUGUUGCCAUGAGCUGUGGUGUAGGUCUCAGACACAGCUUGGAUCCUGCAUUGCUGUGGCUGUGGCUGUGGCCAGCAACUGUAGCUCCUAUUGGACCCCUAGCCUGGGAACCUCCAUAUGCCUCAAGGGUGGCCCUGAAAAGCAAAAAAAAAAAAAAAAAAAAAAAAAA